rnacentral:rRNA from 1 species
ACGGAGGGUGCAAGCGUUAAUCGGAAUUACUGGGCGUAAAGCGCACGCAGGCGGUUUGCCAAGUCGGAUGUGAAAUCCCCGGGCUCAACCUGGGAAUUGCACUUGAAACUGGCAGGCUAGAGUCUGGCAGAGGGGGGUGGAAUUCCAGGUGUAGCAGUGAAAUGCGUAGAGAUGUGGAGGAACACCGAUGGCGUAGGCAGCCCCCUGG